GCCUCUCUCUUUCUCUCUCUCACAGUCACCCAGCCACGCCGUCACCGCCGCCCUCCCGGCCUGUCGCGCCCCAUCGCGCCGCCGCUCAGCCCCAUCGUCGUCGCCCCCUAUCGGCCAUACUGCCUCUCCCAAUUUGAGAUAUGGGUUUGCUGUAAAGCUUACUUCAAUGGAAGAUGAUGAAAACAAUCGCUGGAAGCAAUCGAUAGAGGCUUGCAGCGAUGGACGUCGAAGACGGUCAGUCGGCGAUGGUGUCCAAUGGUGGCCAGGGGGCGGCCGAUGGCGGCGGGAAAGGCCACCGUCUACAUGUACAAAUAGAGUGUUUUGCAGCGUGGAGUGUAGAUGCACACAAAUACUGAUGGACGAAGAAGAAAGCAGUACAGGCAGUGGAAAUAGCAAUAAUGCGACUAUUGCUAGAAGGGACAACUGUUCAGUGGCGACAGCGUCGUCGUCGUCGUCUCGGAGCUGUAAAUCGGCCAGAAAUCGGGCUAACAGCUUUGCCUACUGACGUGACGACUGACGUGGUAGUUGAUGAGACUUGGGCGAACCCCACUAAACAGUAGCUGUAUCACAAGCUGAUUUUGAUUCGAUUUUUUUCGAAGCUAAAAAUCAUUCCUUGUGACACUCAUUAGUGACAUACCUAUUUUUUCAGGUGAUCUAAAUAAGACAAAGCACUUACUUGCCCUAGAUGGAGCAAAAGAAAGGCUUCAGCUGUUCAAAGCUGACAUACUGGAAGAAGGCUCUUUUGACACUGAGAUUGAUGGGUGUGAAGGUGUUUUUCAUAUAGCCUCACCUUGU